rnacentral:tRNA from 1 species
GGGGCGGUAGCUCAGUGGAUAGAGUGGAAGAUUGCAAUGUACCAUAAUUAAGUGGUCGGUUAGAGUUGCAACCUAUCUUUAGGUCGCCGGUUCGAUCCCGCCCGUCCCU